GGUACACGAGCGGCGAACGGGUGAGUAACACGUGAGCAACCUACCCUCAACUUUGGGAUAAGCCUCGGAAACGGGGUCUAAUACCGGAUAAUAUCUUUUGCCUCAUGGUGAAGGGUUGAAAGUUCUGGCGGUUGGGGAUGGGCUCGCGGCCUAUCAGCUUGUUGGUGGGGUAAUGGCCUACCAAGGCGUCGACGGGUAGCCGGCCUGAGAGGGCGACCGGCCACACUGGGACUGAGACACGGCCCAGACUCCUACGGGAGGCAGCAGUGGGGAAUAUUGCGCAAUGGACGAAAGUCUGACGCAGCAACGCCGCGUGAGGGAUGACGGCCUUCGGGUUGUAAACCUCUUUCAGCAGGGACGAAGCGAGAGUGACGGUACCUGCAGAAGAAGGACCGGCCAACUACGUGCCAGCAGCCGCGGUAAUACGUAGGGUCCGAGCGUUGUCCGGAAUUAUUGGGCGUAAAGGGCUCGUAGGCGGUUCGUCACGUCGGGAGUGAAAACUCGGGGCUUAACCCCGAGCCUGCUUCCGAUACGGGCAGACUAGAGGUAGGCAGGGGAGAGCGGAACUCCUGGUGUAGCGGUGGAAUGCGCAGAUAUCAGGAAGAACACCGGUGGCGAAGGCGGCUCUCUGGGCCUUACCUGACGCUGAGGAGCGAAAGCGUGGGUAGCGAACAGGAUUAGAUACCCUGGUAGUCCACGC
rnacentral:rRNA from 1 species